rnacentral:misc_RNA from 1 species
CUUAAUCGCAAUGAAAGGUAUAUUACUGCACAUUUUGAGCCACAAUGAAAACUUUUGCCAUUUAUUUAUUUAUUUGUUUUGCCUUCACAACUCUAUUGCCAAACCGUCAUGCUUGUUCAGUGGUACUUUAUAUUCUUCUAUGUAAUUUCAAUUUCAUGUAUAAGCAAAUUCAACUUGUUGUAUGGAUGGUAAAUAAGGAGGGCUAUUUAUCAUAUAGCAUGGGUUAAUGUGAUGGUAGAAAAUUGAUAAAGUAUUCUGUUUUUUAGACAACAUAAAAUACUUUCUUGUGGAUUUGCUGCACAUUCAACUUGUUAUAUGGAUAGUUAAUAUGGAGGAUUAUUUAUCAUAUAGCUUGGGGUAUCACAGGAGAAAAUUGAUGAAGUAUGCAACACUUAUUUUCUUUUUCUUGGAAUACUUUCUUUUGGUUUUUUCAAACAGUAAUAGGAUAAAUCAACCUCCAAUUGUUAUGAUUUGAUUUAAUCAAUACAAAUGGAAAGGAAGACAAAAAUUUGGCCUACAGGUCAUGUGUGACUGUCCAUAUUAGGAGAAAUUUUUGGUCCUUUUACUGUAAAAUUUCUUCAAGGACUAAUGCUAGUUGCCAUUAUGGCUGUUAUUCUUCUCAUACAAUAUUCUUAACCAUCUUCUUUUGGUAGUUAUUUCUCCUACUUAGAUACGAGUCUUAGUGUGAUAGUAAGAAUACUCUAUAGUGAAUUGGAGGUCACUGGUUUAAAGUUUAAACCAUGGAAACAACUUCCUUGCAAUGUAAGGGAAGAUUGCACGCAUCUGACCCUCUGUAGGGCUUGUAAUGCUGUAAGUAGAAAGGGACACUCUUUCUGUGGUUAAUCCUCCGAUUUGUUGGCAAAUAAAAUGUUAAUGAAACUACACAAAAUUAACCUUAAUAAAAAGUGGGAUAAUUGAACUUGUAAAAGCAUUAUGCUAGCUUGAGCCACUUAGUGGGAGGUCAGAAUUGCAAUAUUUUGCAAAAGAUAUGGAGAAAUUGUGUUGUUGCCUAUCCAUUUUUGCAUCAAAUAUUGUUUGAUGGACCAAAAUUUAUUUGCCUAUUGCAAUAUUUUUCUGAUUGACUUUUUAUACUAUUGGUAAAUAUGAUUUUAUUUUAACUAUGGCAUUUCUUCACAAAAAUUGGAGUAAAUUUUGAUCAACAGAAAACGGCUAUUUAGCUUGAUCAAUGAUGUGCCCACUGUCUUUGAAGUUGUAACCGAAAGAAAGCCUAUAAAAGAAAAGCCCAGUGUAGAUAGUGGAAGCAAAUCGCGAGGCAGUGUAAAGGUUUGAUUAAUUUAAACUUAAUUCAGAAUUACUUGUUUGUGAAUCAUCCUUGUUCAAGAGCCUUUUAUUCUUUACUUUCCUGUAAGGUUCUGCUUGUUAUGACUGACUUGAAAAUUAGAAGUAUAUUAAUGCCAUUUAUUAAAAAUGUGCACCCAACAAUAUCAAAAUAAGCACAACAUUUGUUGAUCAAGCUGCAGUUAGCAAGCCUAAUUUCGUAAGAUUGAAGGAUUUUUUUUUCCCCUUCAAUCAUUCAUGGAUAUCUACGUUGUUUUACCAUACGGAUACUUAAUUACCUGUUUAUUUGCCACUGACUGGAUCCCUUCUCGUUCUAGAGAUCAGGCGAUGGUCAAGUAGUUAAGAGCAAUCCUAAGCUGACAGAAGAUGCAUACGUGGAUGAUGAAGAUGAACAUAAUGAAACCCUAUGUGGGAGUUGUGGUGGCAGUUAUAGCGCAGAUGAAUUCUGGAUUGGCUGUGAUGUCUGUGAGAGGUGGUUCCAUGGAAAGUGCGUGAAGAUAACACCUGCUAAGGCUGAGAGUAUCAAGCAAUACAAGUGCCCAUCUUGCAGCCUUAAGAGGAACAGACAGUAAUGUCCCAGCUGCAAACGAAGUAGUAUUAGUAUUAUUACCUUCUAUGUGGUGUAUGUGUUAAAAUGCUUUGUUCAUGACAAAUCCUUCCAAAGGUUUAAAGUUUGCCUUCUUCCCCACUAAUCUUGUGCUUAACUGGCAGGUUCUGUAAUCUAAUCUUUAAAUUUAUGAUAACUGGUCAUUUCCUUAUGUAAUUUCGAUAGUGGGUUUAAGUUCAAUUGAUGCCUUUCAUAUGAAUUAUCAUUCAUCAGUGAGAUAUUAUGCAUGUUAUUAUUGUUUUCUAUUGUUUCUACUAUGAUGAAAGAUUUUCUCUGAUGGGGAAUUAUGUCUAGGCAUUUUGACAAACGCUCCAAGCUUAUUAUGAUUUACUUUAGUCUAGAAAGUGGGGUAAGAAGUGGAUGAUGAAUUGAUGACUGUCAUUGACCUUAUGAGUGUAGUUAUCCAUAACAAUAUUCAAACACUUUCAAUUCUUCAACCAUGGAGAGGAGAAUUAAGAGUGAGAGAGCAUAUAGCUAUUACAUUGAUGUUUUUAGUUUAUGUUUAUCCCAUAAAUUUAGGCAAAUUGAAAUUCUGAAGCAUGUUUGUGGUGAUGAUGGCGUAAAGACUUUACAAAUAACAGUUAAUUAAUGCAUUUCCUUUUCCUAGUUGAUGCUUGGACAUCAUACAAGGUAUGCAAAUUUUUCCAAUCAGUUUACUUCUCCCAAUAGAGUGCUUUCUCCCAUCAAUUUGGUGUUACAUGUCUUUUUUUACCAGGUUAAAUGUGAUGAGGCAGUAGGUUUGUCACCAGAGACUGAUGCUUCUUUUGAUUUUUGAAUAAAAGCACUUUCCUGGCCGCAAGAUCUUAAGUCGAUUUAUCUAUCAAAUUAAUGGCAUAGAUUUCAAAAAUGGCUAUAUAUCAAUUAAAAUUCAGAUUCUCAUUUGAUGUCUCUCAAAAUACUUCUGCAACAGCUAUUGUCUAUGUAAUGGUUAUUCCUAAAAAAUUUUGUUGUCAGCAUUAUAUUUGGUUUAUGGUGGUGCCGAUUACGUGUUACAUGGCUUCUAUAAUGGUUUAAAUUGAACUGGGAAAGAAAAGUUUGUAAACUAAGCUCUGUUCUUCUCUAUUUUUCAUUCUAUCAUAACUGUCGUAGGCCUCCGGCUGGUCCACUUGGCUUUUGUAGGAACUGAGAGGUAGGAACUAGGAAUGGAGAAUGUUUUGACCUUGCACAAUUAUUCUGUCAUCUCUUCUGUGAGAGGAAUAUGAAAUAUCAAAAUGUUGUAUAUUUUAGUUAUUGGCUUUAAUUAAGAUUUGAAUUUAAUAUCUCACGAUUCUAGGGAGGACUCUCUAUUUCUAUUUGAUAUUUCACCACACAUGAUGACCUUAUAAUUGAAGACCAAGAAAGGUGUUUUAAUUAAUUUGUAUUAGACAGAUGGCAGUGGAUGACACAACUUUUGAAUUGACAUGUAAUUUUUUUGGUGCCUCAA